rnacentral:rRNA from 1 species
AAAUGAAUAGACGGGGGCCCGCACAAGCGGUGGAACAUGUGGUUUAAUUCGAUGAUACGCGAAAAACCUCACCAAGGCUUGACAUAUAGGAAGUAGUGAACCGAAAGGGGAACGAGUCGUCAAGUCGACAAUCUAUACAGGUGCUGCAUGGCUGUCGUCAGCUCGUGUCGUGAGAUGUUGGGUUAAGUCCCGCAACGAGCGCAACCAUUGCCCUAUGUUGCCACUUCACCUUAUCACUUUGUGAUUGGUGGAAGCACUCUUAGGGGACUGCCCGGGAUAACCGGGAGGAAGGUGGAGAUGACGUCAAGUCAGUACGGCCCUUAUGCCUUGGGCGACACACGUGUUACAAUGGUCGAUACAAAGGGUUGCCAACCCGUGAGGGGGAGCUAAUCUCUAAAAGUCGGCCCCAGUUCAGAUUGGAGUCUGCAAUUCGACUCCAUGAAGCCGGAAUCGCUAGUAAUGGGAGAUCAGCACGCUCCCGUGAAUACGUUCCCGGGCCUUGUACACACCGCCCGU